rnacentral:RNase_P_RNA from 1 species
CGAGAUGGCCAGGCGGUCGCGGCGGAUGCGGGAGACCACAUCCGGCGAGGAACGUCCGGGCUCCACAGGGCAGGGUGGUUGCUAACGGCAACCCGGGGCGACCCGCGGGACAGUGCCACAGAAAGCAGACCGCCGGUCUUCGGGCCGGUAAGGGUGAAACGGUGGUGUAAGAGACCACCAGCGCCGCCGGUGACGGUGGCGGCUCGGUAAACCCCACCCGGAGCAAGGUCAAGAGGAGCCGUGAGGCUCUGCGCGAAGGUUCGAGGGCUGCCCGCCCGAAACCGGUCGAUGCGCGCGAAAGCGACGCCUCGCCUUACCUUCGCGGGUAGACCGCUCGAGCGCGCCAGCGAUGGCGCGCCUAGAUGGAUGGCCGCUCAACGACAGAACCCGGCGUAUCGGCCAUCUCGUUCC